UGCUUAUCCAGAAAGACCGAGGGAAGGGCCCUACGACGUCUUGGCAACCCCGUAAAAAGGGUGCUAACUCCCUCUGAUGCUGUUGCAGCACAGAUAGAUGAGCG
rnacentral:ncRNA from 2 species